rnacentral:rRNA from 1 species
GGCGAGUGGCGAACGGGUGAGUAAUACAUCGGAACGUGUCCUGGAGUGGGGGAUAGCCCGGCGAAAGCCGGAUUAAUACCGCAUACGAUCUUGGGAUGAAAGCGGGGGACCGAAAGGCCUCGCGCUCAAGGGGCGGCCGAUGGCAGAUUAGCUAGUUGGUGGGGUAAAGGCCUACCAAGGCGACGAUCUGUAGCUGGUCUGAGAGGACGACCAGCCACACUGGGACUGAGACACGGCCCAGACUCCUACGGGAGGCAGCAGUGGGGAAUUUUGGACAAUGGGGGCAACCCUGAUCCAGCAAUGCCGCGUGUGUGAAGAAGGCCUUCGGGUUGUAAAGCACUUUUGUCCGGAAAGAAAACCUCCGUCCUAAUACGGUGGGGGGAUGACGGUACCGGAAGAAUAAGCACCGGCUAACUACGUGCCAGCAGCCGCGGUAAUACGUAGGGUGCAAGCGUUAAUCGGAAUUACUGGGCGUAAAGCGUGCGCAGGCGGUUCGCUAAGACCGAUGUGAAAUCCCCGGGCUUAACCUGGGAACUGCAUUGGUGACUGGCGGGCUAGAGUAUGGCAGAGGGGGGUAGAAUUCCACGUGUAGCAGUGAAAUGCGUAGAGAUGUGGAGGAAUACCGAUGGCGAAGGCAGCCCCCUGGGCCCAUACUGACGCUCAUGCA